rnacentral:tRNA from 1 species
UUAAUUCAGUGGUAGAGUAAUGCCAUGGUAAGGCGUAUAUUAUCAGUUCAAAUCCGAUA